rnacentral:rRNA from 1 species
AACGAACGCUGGCGGCAUGCCUAACACAUGCAAGUCGAACGAAGCCUUCGGGCUUAGUGGUGCACGGGUGCGUAACGCGUGGGAAUCUGCCCUUGGGUUCGGAAUAACAGUUAGAAAUGACUGCUAAUACCGGAGGAUGUCUUCGGACCAAAGAUUUAUCGCCCAAGGAUGAGCCCGAGUAGGAUUAGGUAGUUGGUGGGGUAAUGGCCCACCAAGCCGACGAUCCUUAGCUGGUCUGAGAGGAUGAUCAGCCACACUGGGACUGAGACACGGCCCAGACUCCUACGGGAGGCAGCAGUGGGGAAUAUUGGACAAUGGGCGAAAGCCUGAUCCAGCAAUGCCGCGUGAGUGAUGAAGGCCUUAGGGUUGUAAAGCUCUUUUACCAGGGAUGAUAAUGACAGUACCUGGAGAAUAAGCUCCGGCUAACUCCGUGCCAGCCGCCGCAGUAAAAC